CCCAGUUGUUGUAACAAGCUUGAUGGCAUUAUCAGACUUGUUACAAGUUUGACACAAGGUUGUAACAAUAUUGUUAUAUCAUGUGUAUCGAAUUUGUUGGAACAACCUUGCAACAAGUCUGAUAAUAUCAACAAGUUUGUUACAAGUUGUU